rnacentral:rRNA from 1 species
GAUGAACGCUGGCGGUGUGCCUAAUACAUGCAAGUCGAGCGAACAGACGAGAAGCUUGCUUCUCUGAAGUUAGCGGCGGACGGGUGAGUAACACGUGGGUAACCUACCUAUAAGACUGGGAUAACUCCGGGAAACCGGGGCUAAUACCGGAUAAUAUUUUGAACCGCAUGGUUCGAUAGUGAAAGACGGUUUCGGCUGUCACUUAUAGAUGGACCCGCGCCGUAUUAGCUAGUUGGUAAGGUAACGGCUUACCAAGGCGACGAUACGUAGCCGACCUGAGAGAGUGAUCGGCCACACUGGAACUGAGACACGGUCCAGACUCCUACGGGAGGCAGCAGUAGGGAAUCUUCCGCAAUGGGCGAAAGCCUGACGGAGCAACGCCGCGUGAGUGAUGAAGGUCUUCGGAUCGUAAAACUCUGUUGUUAGGGAAGAACAAAUUUGUUAGUAACUGAACAAGUCUUGACGGUACCUAACCAGAAAGCCACGGCUCACUACGUGCCAGCAGCCGCCGUAA